rnacentral:tRNA from 1 species
UCCUCGGUGGCUCAGAUGGUAAAGCAUCUGCCUGCAAUGCAGGAGAUCCAGGUUGGAUUGCUGGGUUGGGAA